GCUGAUGGCUCGCAUUAGGUGCUUAGGAGCCAAUAGUGAUAUGUGUUGCUCGGGUGAGCAUGUCGUGGGAGACAACGGUUGCGGGUAUAGCUUGAGGAUGAUCCAUGCCCGGACCAUUCGUGGACUAUGGAACCUGGGUCCCUAUGAACAGGCGCAGUCAGCUGUGGGUGGCAGCGGCCCGGGGUAGGGCAGAGAUUUGGUCAGGACGGUAGUCCGAGCUUAGACCCGAAAGCGUGGAAUGCCACGUGUUAGAUCGUGUAAUCAUGGAUGCACUAAGAGUGCAAUGGUGACCCAACCCGAGGAUUUAGAGUGGUUUGGGGUCUUGAUUGCUCCUGGUUGGAGUAUGUGCGAAUUCCCAAAUGAGAAGUUCGCCUGGUUAUGAUGGGGUCUGCGCUUGCGAGCGAGAGACGCUACGUGUUGAGAUAGGUUUAGGCGGUAGACCUGCGUAGAAUUGGUGAACUGUGGUUCGUCUAUGAGAUUGAGAUAAACGGUAGGCGAGUAGCCUUGUCGACGAGUUUAGGCUUGGAUUCACGAACAGGAGUUCGUGUGAGGUUAUAACAAGAGUGGUUCUUCCCACGGUGGUAAUGCACUUUUGGAGUUACACUUAGCAAAUGUGAGUGAAUUUGGUCUCACAUCCUCCGUAGUGGGCCUUGGAUGAUUUCAAUGAAUGAAAGCCCACUCUAAGAAGGAAAAGUGCAUUGGAAUCCCCGAUUGCUCGAUAAAUCGAGUUGGAAUGUGAUUGGGGUUGAAAUUUGGUUAGUUUCGAGGACGAAACUCUUUUUAAGAAGGAGAGGAUGUAAGGUACCGAACUUCUAAAAUUAUGAAGUUACGGCGGAUGUAGUAUGCUGGAUUUUUAAUAUAAAAAUAAAUAUAAAUAAAAAUAGUGUGAGAUACUAUUUUUAUUGGAUUUAAGGGUGUAAAGUAUAAGUUGGAAAUGACCUGUGCUGAAAUCGGGGCGAAAACAAAAGAUUUAGAAUUUUCUGUGACAGACGGGGCAGAUAAAUUAGCAGAAAAUGCAGAGUGUCAGAAAAUUAUGAAAACUGGAGGAUAUGUCAGAAUUAUUUUUAUAAGGCUAGAUUUAAAGUUUCAUACCAUUCUGACACCCGGAAAAUGGAAAAUAAAAUCCGACUGCUAUCUGAUAAAGAUUACAGUUCGGUACAGCUUUCGGUGACAAACAUAGUCGAAACUGAAAGAUUAAAAUUUACAGGUACACACGAGAGCGGACCGGCAGGUGAUCGCGGUAAGGGCGUAGCGCCCUAGCUAGCUAGUUGUGGCUUUCCUUUUGUACUAGAGUACCCUCGUGUACAUAGGUGACAUGGUUGUGUUUUGGAGAGUACAUUGUACCUAGAUGCAUGUGAGUGGAAUAUGUAUUCAUUUUGGGUGAUGAUGAAAAUGUAAAUGUAAUCAAAGAUGUAAAAGUGGAAUGUGAUGUAAUAGCUAGAUGUAUCUCUCUUUAUGCACUUGUAUGUAUACUUGUGUUACUUGCUCUUGUUGUAUUGCACUCUUUGUGCUUCUCUCCUUGUUGGAUCAUGUAUGUAUUGAAUUAUCCCUGGGCAAAUUCUUUGUACAUGAUCCUGUGUUGAGCCUUGGGCGGAUAGGGGAGGUGCUGUCCGUUCGGCGUCCGUCCGGCGCGCCUGAACCGGACCAAAUUGGUAGCGGUCUCGGGGCGGGGCGUGACAGGUAUGGUAUCAGAGCAAGUUAAGUGCAAGUAAAUAGAGAGAGUCUAGGAUUGACCUAGAGGACCUUAGGUUGGGAAACCGUAAGGUUAUAGGUGCGUGAGUGGAACGUGGACCUAUACGGUGGCGGGAGUUGAUCGAUUGGGUCGAAGUGAUUGUAUGUCUCUAGUCGUGGCUAGAGAUGGAUUCAAGUGGUAUGAGUUCUUGGCUCGAAGUGGUAGUGUUGGGCGGCCGACAACACGACGCCGAGAGUCUAGAAUUAGUACACUUACGUGCUUCCGCCUAGUUUGCGACGUUGAGUCGCGUAGUUGUGAUCGCGAGCGAGUUGGUGGGUUAAGUUAAUUAACCCGGUUGUUGCGUUGCAGGAACUAAUGUCCCCAAGACACUACACUCGCAGAUCUAUUCCGGCACCGUCUUCGGAGGCGCCAGAGCUUGCUGGACCUCCCGAGGUGCCAGAGUCAGCUGGGCCUAGUGAGGUGCAGGAGUUACGGGCGCAAGUGACCGCAUUGACCAAUGUGGUGCAGUGCCAGGAGACCUGAUUCGAGCGGCUCCAAGAGCUCUUGGAGCGGCAAAUGGCAGUGGUGGCUGCGAUGGCGACCGGAGGUUGUGACCCGCCCGCACCCCCGGUGCACGUGCCUGAUGUGGCUGAGGGUGAGGGUAUAGCGGCGAUUCCGGUGGCGGCACGUCCCUCGCCGGCAAUUGUUCCUCCGGCAGCGUCGGGAUCGGCGACACCCGAUGCGGCGGCCGAGGAGAUGGAGCGAGAGCGUUCGUUGACGGCUCUUAUCAGAUUCAAGAAGUUCAACCCACCAAUCUUUGAAGGGGAGAAAGUGGAGCCGUCGAUGGUGGAGUCAUGGAUUGACUCAAUGGAGAUACUUUUUUAGGAUCUCUAUACCUCGGAGAAAGACAGGGUGUAUCUCGCCACCCAUUGCCUUGGGAAAGCAGCGAAGGUGUGGUGGAAAUAGGUGAAGCGAGAUCGGCCUUCUGACCUUCCACAUAUGUUAUGGGAGGAGUUUAAGAGGGCGAUGUUCGCCAACUAUUUUUUCGACACGAUGAAGCGAAAACUGCAGGAGAAGUUUCGCAAGUUGAGGCAGGGGGAUCGCUCGGUAGCGGACUACGAGCAAGAGUUCUCCCACAUCAUAGAUUGUGUCCCGGAGGUUGUUCGAGAUGACCGGGACCGGGCCGACUGGUUCUUGCGAGGACUUCGGCCGGGGAUUUAUAAGGCCGUGCAAAUAUUCAAGCUCACUACCUUUGCUGAGGUUUUUGAUUGAGCAUUGUGGGCGGAGCAUGGCGAUGCCCACGUGCGAGAAGAACGAGAGGCGUCCGAGAAGGAUAAGGCGAAGAAACGGCCUGGCGGUAGCUCGGGGGGACAGUCAAGUUCUAAGAAGCCCCCGAAGUACCCGAGGAGGCAGUUUGAGAGCCAGGGACCUAUGCGAUGUGUGAUUUGCGGUGGGAGCAUCGCGUAGGAAACUGUGAGCAUAGGGCGGGACGAUGCUUCAGGUGUGGUCAGGCGGGGCAUAUUAGCCGUCAGUGCCUAGAAGGAUCGUCGCCUGCACCGUCUAUUGCAUCCGCCCCAGUGACUCCGGGGCAGUCGGGUGGAGUUCCGCCUGCUACAGUAUCGACGGGACGUGGGAUGGCGCCGCAACGGCUUGAGGCGACCCGGUCGGCUCCGAGUAGUCGAGUGUUUGCCGCUCAAGCGGAGCGACCUACUGGGGUAGAGGAGUGUGACACCAUGCCAGGUAUGAUUUAAUUAAAGUAAUCAUACGCUUCUGCAUGAUGUAGACUUAAGAAAUUACAUGCAUUUACCUUGUGGUCGUUCGCUACUAUUUGUGCAUUGGUAUUGUAGGGACCAAGUGAACGGGUUGGUGUAGAUUCCCGAGCAUGCUUAUGUGGUGAGAGUGUAGCGCCUGCUGGAGCAAGUAGAGAGCUAGAUAGCACUAGCAAAAUGCUGGUGAUGAUUGUUGGACGAAACGUGAGACUCGUGGUAGAGCGAUUGUUUAGUGUUCGAGCAUGAGCACGUGGGCCUAGUAGUACCUCGAAGUGAGGUGGGUGAGUCGUGCUCGUGUGGCCGGUGCGCAUAGGCAGGGUUGCCUAAUGUCGGAAUUAGUGUACGGCGCGUAGAGCGCUCGAGUAUAGGUACUCGUGAAGUACGGUGUUGACUCAGCCGGGAGAGUGUGUAGGCAGUAGCACUGUAGCAUUACUAAGUGUGAAGCGCGCCUGGGAUCACUCGUGGGGCUGAUGGCUCGCAUUAGGUGCUUAUGAGCCAAUAGUGAUAUAUGUUGCUCGGGUGAGCAUGUCGUGGGGGACGACGGUUGCGGGUAUAGCUUGAGGAUGAUCCGUGCCUGGACCAUUCGUGGACUGUGGAACCUGGGUCCCUAUGAACAGGCGCAGUCAGCUGUGGGUGGCAGCGGCCCGGGGUAGGGCAGAGAUUUGGUCAGGACGGUAGUCCGAGCUUAGACCCGAGAGCGUGGAAUGCCAUGUGUUAGAUCGUGUGAUCAUGGAUGCACUAAGAGUGCAAUGGUGAC
rnacentral:lncRNA from 1 species